UACGUAGGGGGCUAGCGUUGUCCGGAAUCAUUGGGCGUAAAGAGCGUGUAGGCGGUCCGGUAAGUCCGCUGUGAAAGUCGGGGGCUCAACCCUCGAAUGCCGGUGGAUACUGUCGGGCUAGAGUGCGGAAGAGGCGAGUGGAAUUCCUGUUGUAGCGGUGAAAUGCGCAGAUAUCAGGAGGAACACCUAUUGCGAAGGCAGCUCGCUGGGACGUAACUGACGCUGAGACGCGAAAGCGUGGGGAGCAAACAGG
rnacentral:rRNA from 1 species